AUUGAACGCUGGCGGCAUGCCUUACACAUGCAAGUCGAACGGCAGCACGGGAGCAAUCCUGGUGGCGAGUGGCGAACGGGUGAGUAAUGUAUCGGAACGUGCCCAGUCGUGGGGGAUAACGUAGCGAAAGCUACGCUAAUACCGCAUACGAUCUAUGGAUGAAAGCGGGGGACCGUAAGGCCUCGCGCGAUUGGAGCGGCCGAUAUCAGAUUAGGUAGUUGGUGGGGUAAAGGCCUACCAAGCCGACGAUCUGUAGCUGGUCUGAGAGGACGACCAGCCACACUGGGACUGAGACAAGGCCCAGACUCCUACGGGAGGCAGCAGUGGGGAAUUUUGGACAAUGGGCGCAAGCCUGAUCCAGAAAUGCCGCGUGCAGGAUGAAGGCCUUCGGGUUGUAAACUGCUUUUGUACGGAGCGAAAAGGCUCUCUCUAAUACAGGGGGCUCAUGACGGUACCGUAAGAAUAAGCACCGGCUAACUACGUGCCAGCAGCCGCCGUAA
rnacentral:rRNA from 1 species